UGGUCAAAGCUUCGCUAUUAAUGUAUUAUUGCUCAAACCCAUCUGGGAAUAAAAAGAGAAUCUGCAAACUCAUGUAACUUUUUAUCUUUUCUGGCUACCCUAGAUUGAUGCUCAAAGAUCCAUUGAUGAGGUAUUUGAAGAUGUCAAAGGUGUCUUCUCCAAGCUCAAACCAAAAAGUGUUGUGGGCUUAAAGAAUGAAUGCAACAUCCUGCAAAUUGGAGCCCAAGUCUCAUCCAUUAUCUAAAGGAAUGAAAAAACUUGCUUUAUCUGCUACUAUCUUCUUUUUUUUNNNNNNNNNNNNNNNNNNNNNNNNNNNNNNNNNNNUUUUCUCAUUUGAUUAGCCCUAGUACACAGGUAAUUAUAUAUAAGAAAAAAGAACAUGGAAACCCAGCUAUAUUAACCUUACUUUAUGAGCAGAAGAGAAAUGCUUAGCAGAAGCAAUCAUGGUGGCCUCUGGACCAGCAAGUUGGUGUUCUUUUUCUCUUAAAAUCUUCAUCUUUAACAGCCACACUGAAGCACGAGGCUAAUGACAUAAUGAUCCAUGGGCAUGGCUGUCCAUUCUCUGCCUUUUGAUCCUUGCUCAUCUUCUUAAUUACACACUGGUGAUUAAGCUAGUUUUGACGAAGCAUGAUAUGUAAUUAUUUUUUAAAAUUAAUUAAAAUGUUUACAAUUUUAUAUAAGCACAGUUUCUUUAUAUUAAAAUAUUUUUCAUUUUUGGAUAAAA
rnacentral:lncRNA from 1 species